UCUACAAAUUAAUUACAUAUCUUU
rnacentral:snRNA from 1 species